ACCAGCAUCGUGAUCACCCCCCUUCCUGCUUUAUGCCAGCUGCAGUCCUAAAAAUAAUAAUAAUAAUAAAAAAAAGCUAAGGGGCGUACUUUGAGGUACACGACCCAAACAAUAACAAAAGCCCCAGUAAUGACAGCGCGCCAUAAACUCAGCUGCGAAACUUCAAAAGGGCUGUAAACUUGAGGAAGGUAAAACGGCGCGUCUCAGGGGAAGGUGUUAAACCGGAAAGAUUUAAAAGAAGCUGUAGAGGUUCCCGGCAGGACGCCGCGCGCAACGACUCUGACAUGAAAAAGACACUACGCGAGCGGUGGGAAAUGUUCACAAAACACCAAACGGGUUUGUUCCUGUUUCCUCCCUGGGGAUUGGAGGGAGACUGUCUCACCUGAAGCACUGGCCAAUCAGGUGCACCUCCUUGUCACGUACAACGGCUCAGCCAACUGUCCCUUUGGGGGGAGGCGGACUCUUCAGAUGCAAAGCUGUUGUGUCAGCUUUUGUUACCAUGGGAACCUUGCUAAGCAACAAGGCGAUGCACUUCCUGACCGCUGAACUCUGGGUGGACUGCACGGCGGCCUGAUUUCGCUGCGUCGGCGUGGGUUUCUGCUGCGUAAGAAGUUCUGCAACUGCGGUGUGCUGCUGCAGUGUGGCGCUGCAUUAGAGAUAUGGUAUGAAUUAAUGCACUGCACCCAUAACCACACGAUUGAGUAACAACAUAGCGAUUACAUUUGACAUAAAAAUAUCGCACUAUUUUUGGCUCAAGGCACUGCGAAACAUUUGCGAUGAUUUUACCGAAAAUUUAAUUUAAACUAAAUGCUCGUUUAUAACAGAAAAGAGAUUCAUUUAAUUGAUCAUAACAUGGAACAUAAUUAAUAAAAUCUUGGUAAUUGCAUCUGAAUGUACUUGGAGUAAAAUAUGUUUUUUUUUUUUGGCUUUUAAUUUAAAUGACGAAUUACCAUGAUCUGUAAUAUUUCAGCCUGAGAAACCCCUGAUAGGAGCUGAGUGAAUGCGCGCACAUUUAAUAAGAGUGUGUCACUGCGUAAAAGGGCCCCCUGUAUUAAUGACAGCCAGUGAGCGCUAGUUAAUAUGCAUCCUACUGCCCGCUAAUGCGCCUCCAACAUUAAACUGUGCAAAAUACCUCAAUACAUUUCUUUACAGCUCCUGCUGAACUCAUUUCAAUGUCUAACAAAUCAGCUGAAUCAUUUGCUAUUUUCUCAUGAGGAAAAGCCCUCACCGACAAAUGCAGAGACAAACAAAAUAACUAAAUAACGAAACAGUUUGUGCAGCCCGGUGCAAGAGGCGUACCACAUAUUGCAACACAUAUUGAUCUCUAUGAUAUUUAGUAAAAAAACAAAAAGAAAUGUAUUUUUCUGAUAUAUAUUGGCAGAGGUUACAUAGAAUAUUUAGCUGUGGAAACGCUAUUCCUAUUCCUAUUGGAAUAAGCCCAACGUUUUACAUUUAAUUGGAUUCGAAACUUGGCAAUAUUCUAAUAUGAUUGCCCUUGGCAGGUUCUGGAUGUGUUAUUGGGAAGCCCAAAGCACUCUUUAAUUUGGAAAGAUGUCUUUAACAUUGUCAAAUUAAAUAGAGUACAUGUUACUUGCCAGUUCAGGCAAAUGAAGAAAAACAUACUUGACAUACUUAACUGUCAACAAUUAAUUCUGAAUUGAAUAUUGCUGUAAAAUCCUUGUGGGGCUAAAUAGGACUAAAAACUGUUCGACACGUGUAAGACAUGAAAACACAGCCCCCAUUAACCCCCCCCCCCCCCAAUUCAACCUCAGGGUUGGGGCUAGGGGUUAAAGGUCAAAGGUUGGUCUUAUUGAUGGGAGAUAGAGCAGAGUUUAAGGUCACUUCUGAGCACUUUACAGUAACGUGCAGUAUUAACUGAGCAUAAAACACACGCCUGUUUUUUCAGAGUGCUAACUAUAAUUAGGCAUUACUUAUAACACAGUAGCUACACUGCAGUUGCAGUUGAACCCAUAAAUCGCACGCUUAAUGAUUGUAGAAGAAGAAUAUUGCUGAGGAUCAUGGUAUUGGGUCCUGCUAGUUAUGUUCCCUCCGUAAGUCAGGCUUACGGCCCACGGCAGACACACCGGGCACGUGUUGGGCACGCACCGUUCACACAGGGGCCGGAUGAGUCACUGUGUUGAGUGCAGUGUGCAGUGUGCAGUUUCUUCAGUGGCUGAACUCUGCUUCUUCUCAAAGUCGAGAUCGUUCGAUGCCCGGCUCACUUCGAUGCUGCUGAUAACCGAAUGCUUGCGCGUCACAUUAGCGUCAGAAUCUAUGCACAUCUGACUACGUACACCAAGCCAUGAACCCUCACCUUGUGAAACCUGUUCAUUUUUUACUUUAAUAAUUAUUCCUGAGAAAUUCACUGGGAUUAUGGAAUUGCUAAUGCUUCUUAAAAGCUCCAUCUCUGUUUUUGUUUUAAAUUCUUUUGAUAUGAAACAUUGGGAAAUGACAGAUGUUCACUGUUACCAGCGAUUGUGUGAUAGGCCAGGCUACUGCAGCUAAUUAACAACCUGCCCCUAAACUCGUUCAGAAACUUUGGUCUUCACUUUACACACCAAGAUGUGAAGAGGAAGAUAAUGGUAUAAAAUGAAAUGUGUCUUUUAAAAAGCUAAUUUACUUGC